GUAGGUGGCAAGCGUUGUCCGGGAAUUAUUGGGGCGUAAAGCGCGCGCAGGCGGUUCUUUAAGUCUGAUGUGAAAGCCCACGGGCUCAACCGUGGAGGGUCAUUGGAAACUGGAGAACUUGAGUACAGAAGAGGAAAGCGGAAUUCCACGUGUAGCGGUGAAAUGCGUAGAGAUGUGGAGGAACACCAGUGGCGAAGGCGGCUUUCUGGUCUGUAACUGACGCUGAGGCGCGAAGCGUGGGGAGCAAACAGGAUUAGAUACCCUGGUAGUCCACGCCGUAAACGAUGAGUGCUAAGUGUUAGGGGGUUUCCGCCCCUUAGUGCUGCAGCUAACGCAUUAAGCACUCCGCCUGGGGAGUACGGCCGCAAAGGCUGA
rnacentral:rRNA from 1 species